rnacentral:rRNA from 1 species
AAUAGAUACCCGGGUAGUCCAUGCCGUAAACGUUGGGCACUAGGUGUGGGGCUCAUUCCACGAGUUCCGUGCCGCAGCAAACGCAUUAAGUGCCCCGCCUGGGGAGUACGGCCGCAAGGCUAAAACUCAAAGGAAUUGACGGGGGCCCGCACAAGCGGCGGAGCAUGCGGAUUAAUUCGAUGCAACGCGAAGAACCUUACCAAGGCUUGACAUGCACGGGAAGCCACCAGAGAUGGUGGUCUCUUUGGACACUCGUGCACAGGUGGUGCAUGGUUGUCGUCAGCUCGUGUCGUGAGAUGUUGGGUUAAGUCCCGCAACGAGCGCAACCCUCGUCCCAUGUUGCCAGCGGGUUAUGCCGGGGACUCAUGGGAGACUGCCGGGGUCAACUCGGAGGAAGGUGGGAUGACGUCAAAUCAUCAUGCCCCUUAUGUCUUGGGCUUCACGCAUGCUACAAUGGCCGGUACAAAGGGCUGCGAUACCGUAAGGUGGAGCGAAUCCCGAAAAAGCCGGUCUCAGUUCGGAUUGGGGU